UACGGAGGGUGCGAGCGUUGCUCGGAAUGACUGGGCGUAAAGGGCGCGUAGGCGGCUUGCACAGUCAGGCGUGAAAUUCCUGGGCUCAACCUGGGGACUGCGCUUGAGACGUGUGGGCUUGAGUGGGGAAGAGGGUCGUGGAAUUCCCAGUGUAGAGGUGAAAUUCGUAGAUAUUGGGAAGAACACCGGUGGCGAAGGCGGCGACCUGGUCCUUGACUGACGCUGAGGCGCGAAAGCGUGGGGAGCAAACAGG
rnacentral:rRNA from 1 species